rnacentral:rRNA from 1 species
GACGAACGCUGGCGGCGUGCUUAACACAUGCAAGUCGAACGGAAAGGCCCUGCUUUUGUUGGGUGCUCGAGUGGCGAACGGGUGAGUAACACGCGAGUAACCUGCCCCUGACUUUGGGAUAACUUCAGGAAACUGGGGCUAAAACCGGAUAGGAGCUCCUGCUGCAUGGUGUGGGUUGGAAAGUUUCGGCGGUUGGGGAUGGACUCGCGGCUUAUCAGCUUGUUUGUGGGGUAGUGGCUUACCAAGGCUUCGACGGGUAGCCGGCCUGAGAGGGUGACCGGCCACAUUGGGACUGAGAGACGGCCCAGACUCCUACGGGAGGCAGCAGUGGGGAAUAUUGCACAGUGGGCGGGAGCCUGAUGCAGCAACGCCGCGUGCGGGAUGACGGCCUUCGGGUUGUAAACCGCUUUCGCCUGUGACGAAGCGUGAGUGACGGUAAUGGGUAAAGAAGCACCGGCUAACUACGUG